rnacentral:lncRNA from 1 species
CUAAUUUCCCUUUGAUUUCUUUGUCUCAUGAGUUACUUACAAGUGUAUUAUUUACUUUCCAAAUAUUUGAAGAUAAUCCAGACAUAUUUCCCUUAUUGAUUUCAAAUUUAAUUCUAUUGUGCCCAGAGAAUAAACUUUGCAUGAUAUGAAUUCUUCUGAAUUUAUUGAGACUUGCUUUCUGACCAGAAUAGUUUAUCUUUGUUGGUAAAUGUCCCAUGUGCACUUGAAUGUGAAUUCUGAUGUUACUUAUUCUGUAAAUGUCAUUAGGUUAAUUUAAUUGACAAUGUGGGUCAAAUUUUCUAUCUCUUAACUGAUUUUCUAUGUACUCAUUUUCUCACUUAUUGAGUCAGGGGUAUUGAAAUUUCUGACUAUGAUUGUGAACUUAUCUAUUUCUCCUUGCAGUUCUGUUGGUUUUUGUUUCACGUAAUUUGAAGAUCUUCUAUUAGUAGCAAAAUGUUUAGGAUUUUUUAUUCUCUUGUUUGACAGCUUUAUUAUUAUUAAAUGACUUUUUAGCUUUGAUAAUAUUUUUCCUCUGAAAUCUCUUUUGUCUGAUACUAAUAGAGGCACUCUGACCUGUGGUUAACUCUAUUGCCUCUUUCCUACAGGGACAAAACCCAAAUGAGAGACUGUCUACCUAAGAAUAUAAAUGAACUGAAAGUGAUCACUAAGUUUCUCCACUUAGAAGCUGAAAUCUUGUUACUGCUGUUCAUUUAAAAAAAAAAAAAAAAGAAUUCCACGAGUACUCCUCCAGGAAGCAUCUUGGCUUUUCCAGCAUCUCCCCUCCCUCGCAGUUUGGUCAACAUGGUCUUUUGUGAUGUCUAAGUAUCCCUGGGCUACCACUGGCUACCAAACAAAGCUGAAGGGUGUGUGCCUCAUUAUCCUGGCAGGGUAUAUAAAGGCGGGUGAGGAGGCCUCCGGCAGAUCACUGGGAAAUUUUGGCAUGAGCAAGGUGACCUAUAAGCCACAAACUUCUAGCAGAGUUACAGAACAACCGACUCCAAGCACCUCAGGGAGAAAAGAGAAGACCCCCUUUCAACUCGGGUCCAGAGACAGUGACACGGUAGCCAAGACAACUAUGAAAGCUAAAAGAUAUCCUCAAGGGAGUUUAAGAGAAGAGACCUCUUCCAGAGUUCCCAUCCCUUUAAUUAAUUCUAAGAAAACCAAAGGAUCAAUCCUAUUCAGCCAUUAUCACAAGCUGAAUGAAAAGCUGAAUCAAAAUGAACCCAAGCAGUCCCAAGAGAGUGUAGAAAAACCCACCACUUCAGAUGAAGAGCCGGGCAGCCAGAACUUCAGAGUGGAGCCAGAGGCCUCAAAUAUCUAUGAAAUCUCCAAAGUCUAGCCACUUUGAAAUGGCAACUACUUAGAGACCAAACUAAGCAUGAACAGGGGACAUGCAUGGUAAUGAAUAAAAUUAAAAUUCACCCUGUUGUGAAAAUUUGC